ACCCUCGCACACAGUUGGAGAGAGCUGCUCCGCUUCACUAUCAACUCCUGCAGAAUUAUGAGCCUGAAUCCAUGUUGCCUGAAGUUACCAGACCAAGUCAAUCUGUAGAGCAGCAGGUUCCAUGGAGACCUUCACUAAUGAAAGCACGAAUGAGAAACAGAGUUCUCCGGAUAAGAAUUAAGAGCCGUGCUCCCCACGUUCUUCCACAUUCACAUGUCAGAUGAGAUGAGCCUGGCUGAUCCAACCCAGCUGCUUCAUGGGAGAGAAAAGAAUACAUCUGGUUCUCAUUGUGUGACAACUGAGAGAAGAUCAACUAUGUGAAUGAAACGGCUUUGUAGUAACUUUAUGUAACUGUUACAGUUGUAACCUCAGAGAUAUUCAAAGGGGGGAAGAGGUUGUCUCGUGGCUUGUCUCAUAAAUGUCUAGUCGU